ensembl:lncRNA
AGGAAAAGAUUUGGUUUGAGAGGCAGAGCCUGUGCAGAUAAAUCCAGAUAUUAAAGAAUUUUUAGUGUAAUUUCACGACAGAUAUCGGUCACAAAAUGCUCUAAUGAACAGUGUGUAUGAUAUCUGUAUUUCAUAAUUACCCCAAUAGAAACUGCAUGCUGUAUAUUAAAAAUGUCAUCGCUCUUUCUCUAUACUUCACUUUGUCUUUGCUCAGAACGCAAAUGUGCGCGUUUACAGCCGUCCAGGUGCCUCGGCCGUCGCUGCGUCCUCUAAGAUGUGAUGCGUCCAAUGGCCUCUGGAGGCAGCCUCCUCAUUUCACUGAGAGCAAAUGCACUUAUGGAUUGUCAACCACUACGACUAGGAUCAAGAUUUAACUUAACCCGCCAAUUACUACCAAUGGAGAGGCUUCAGUGCUGUUGUAGAGUUGAUGUUUUGGUUAGUUAAUUUCCAAUUCUGUCAUUUCUAGCAGUUAAUUUUGAUUAACCUCAAAAUUCUCAGUACUAGCAAUAUCCAGAAGGCUCGUGAUCUGCAGUAAAAAUCCUGAGAGGUAAAUGUGUCCUGAUUUGAACUGCAGUUUUGGAAAAAAUGAACUGGCUUGUUGGUGUGCAUCUAAUUUUGACUAGUGACUCUGUUUGCACCACUUGACUUCAACCACAUAAUGCCUUUUGAAGUAAUUUAAUCAAUCCAUCCAUCAUUCAGUAAUCAGCUUUACCUGUCUUUUGACUUCUUUGACUUUGAUCACAUUAAAUGAAUUUACCGCUGCAAAUUCCUCACAUUUGUGUGCGCUACUAUGUUGUGAUGAUACACUUUUCUUUAGUUAAAGUGUAAAAACAAAUCAACAUUUAUAUAAUGUUUGCUUGAAGAGGCACGUAUACCUAUGGCUUCACCUGAGACGUACUGCAGUGAUGUCUGAUGUCCGGUUGAAACUGGUGAAACUGGAUUUGCUCUGCAGGAUUUGCUUUCUGUUUUGCUUCACUUUAGUUUUCACUAGAAACAAGCUUGGGCUUGUUUUGAUCGUGCUCAACUGAACCACAGACAGGAGCACGGAACUGCAAACAGUUUCAGUUUGUUGAAAAUGGUAAUGGAAUCUUUUUGCCACUCUUACUAUUAGUCAUUUACUUGUGGGGGUGUGGAUGUCUCAUCAGGUAGAGAGCAAGCUUUGAGGUGAACAAUCUUUGGUGCCUUUGUUGUAGGGGAAAAAACUACAAUUUACAGACGAAUUUAACCUUUAUCUGAAAAAAUCAAUAGUCAUCUUCUGUUUGAUUUUGGUCAAAGUAAGUGUAAUUUUCAACAGUGUAAAAGUAAACUGUACAUUAGUAUCAUUGGUAAUCUCAAGAUGAAAGUUGUAAAUCUACAGUAAAAUUCACAUUUUGAAGAAAAUAAAUGUUGACCACUAUUGUCCUGUGAAGAGACCACAAAGAUCACCUACAGGAUUAUCCAUGUAACCUGCUAUUGUGUAUUUGUAAACCCUCAAAUCUUGAUCUGAAAAUAACAUAUUUUUUAUGAGUGUUUAAAUUGAGAACCUGCUUCAGAUGAGAUCUGUAUUCAGUGCCUGAAUUAAUGAAUUUGUAAUUAAAACUUAUCGGCAGCUUUCAUUUGUCCCCAAUUUUUUUUCUGCCUCGGUUGUCUUUAUGAGUCUCUGUGAUUGAGUAUAUUUUUUAAAUUCAUUUUAAUGUGCAUCAGUAACAGCACAACAGAUACCCUUGCUUAUACUGCACAGCAUCGGUUUGGCAUUUCAUCAUGUGGUUUGGAGAAACAUUACACAUCUGCUGAUCUGUGAGUUCAAAUUUAGCCACCUGCAGUUUCUUUAAUACUGAAAUGUACCAAUUUCUGAAUUACUUUUUUCUGUUUCAGCAUCUUGGAUCCACUAUGUGAC